UACAGAGGGGGCAAGCGUUGUUCGGAAUUACUGGGCGUAAAGGGCGUGUAGGCGGGAAGGAAAGUCAGAUGUGAAAUCCCUGGGCUCAACCCAGGAACUGCAUUUGAAACUCCCUUUCUUGAGUGUCGGAGAGGAAAGCGGAAUUCCUGGUGUAGAGGUGAAAUUCGUAGAUAUCAGGAGGAACACCGGUGGCGAAGGCGGCUUUCUGGACGACAACUGACGCUGAGACGCGAAAGCGUGGGGAGCAAACAGG
rnacentral:rRNA from 1 species